rnacentral:rRNA from 1 species
UGGCGGCGUGCCUAACACAUGCAAGUCGAACGAGAAAGUGGAGCAAUCCAUGAGUAAAGUGGCGACCGGGUGAGUAACACGUGACUACCUGCCCUUGAGUGGGGGAUAACUUCGGGAAACCGAGGUUAAUACCGCAUAACAUCGAUCAAAGGAGCAAUCCGCUGAAGGAGGGGGUCGCGGCUGAUUAGCUAGUUGGUGAGGUAACGGCUCACCAAGGCGAAGAUCAGUAGCCGGCCUGAGAGGGCGCACGGCCACACUGGAACUGAAACACGGUCCAGACUCCUACGGGAGGCAGCAGUGGGGAAUUUUGCGCAAUGGGGGAAACCCUGACGCAGCAACGCCGCGUGGAGGAUGAAGUCCCUUGGGAUGUAAACUCCUUUCGAUCGGGACGAUUAUGACGGUACCGGAAGAAGAAGCACCGGCUAACUCUGUGCCAGCAGCCGCGGUAAUACAGAGGGUGCAAGCGUUGUUCGGAAUUAUUGGGCGUAAAGGGUGCGUAAGCGGUGCGGUAAGUCUUCUGUGAAAUCUCCGGGCUUAACUCGGAACCUGCAGGGAAACUGCCGUGCUGGAUUAUGGGAGAGGUGAGUGGAAUUCCCGGUGUAACGGAGAAAUGCUUAUAUAUCGGGAAGAACACCUGGGGGGAAAGCGGCUCACUGGACCACAACUGACGCUGAGGCGCGAAAGCUAGGGGAGCAAACAGGAUUAGAUACCCUGGUAGUCCUAGCCUAACGAUGAUUGCUUGGUGUGUCGGGUACCCAAUCCCGACGUGCCGCAGCUAACGCGAU